rnacentral:lncRNA from 1 species
AGGGCCUCUCCCGGUUCAACGAUCCCUCUAACCUACAGCCACCCGCAAGAACCGCCCUUUCUGCUCGCACCUCUUCGCACGACUCCCGCUCGACCGAGCACGGUGAGGGAACUUCUCUAAGCCCCGCCUCUCCUUGCAACCUGUGUUGGCCUAAACUGCCCGGCAACUGUUUACGUCACACGACCAUGGCCCUCCCAGAAUGGACGAGAUUUACUAGACAACCCCGCCCACUAGGCUGAAAUUACCCUCGGCAGGUGCCACUUCUGAGCCCGGUGAGCUCUGGGGGAAAGGACCCAGGCGGGGCGGGGCAGGUGGUAAACUGAGCUCAGCGCCUGGCGCGCUUGCACUUCCUCUAGUUGCGCUCGCCCUCCAUCUUCCACCUCAGAAAGGCCACCGCUCCGAGCUGCAACUGCUAGUGCUUGGAGGGCGCUGUAUUCCACUCUGACUCAUCCUUGGGGGCGGACGUGGGAGCAUGGGGAAGUGGCGGGGCAACCAUAGGAAACAGAAAACUUAAGGGAGGAUAUGGCAUAUUUAGGACUGUGAAGUGUGCAAAUGCUGGUGAGCCAUUUGGUGCACUGAAAACAGGAGAGACCACAGUUAUAAAACACCACCUUUAUUAUAAAUACCAAGAAUCCAGAGUGUGUUUAUGGGCCAGCAUAUGCCUUUAGUCCUAUUGGAAAGUAUUCUUUCUGUAUGUUCUAAAGUUCUUCUCAUUUUCAGGGUUCUAUCCACAACAAACCUGGCUCUAAACCCAGUUACACUAAGGGGUUAUGAACUCUGUUUUCUUCCAAGAAAUCUGCAUUAUCAAGAGGAGCUUGGAGACGGGGUAACACUCGUGGCAGAAUUUCAGGCAUCCUUCUAGGAUGUCACUCCUCCUAGAAGCAGCUGUCUAUUGUGCAGCUCUGGUAACACCUUUGUUCCCAAAUUCUCCACUACAGAGGGCAGAAAAACAAGGGAGGGAGGUGGCAUGUGCAGGUCUGAGAAGGCUUUCAUUCUGGAGCACCUGACCCGUCAGCAGCCUGCAUCAUGUCCCAGUAGCGUCCGUUCCUCUCCAUGAGCUGCUGGUGGGUUCCUGCUUCACAGAUGGUGCCUCCUUCCAGAAAAAGGAUUUGGUCAGCCUGCUCCACCAAGCUGAGACACUGGGUGAUGAGAAGCACAGACCUAGAGCCCCGCUCAGGGCUUUUGUACAGGAGCUGCUCCACCUGAGAAAAGACACAGACUCUGUCAAGAACCCAGGGA